rnacentral:rRNA from 1 species
GUAGGUGGCAAGCGUUGUCCGGAAUUAUUGGGCGUAAAGCGCGCGCAGGCGGUUCUUUAAGUCUGAUGUGAAAGUCCACGGCUCAACCGUGGAGGGUCAUUGGAAACUGGAGAACUUGAGUACAGAAGAGGAAAGCGGAAUUCCACGUGUAGCGGUGAAAUGCGUAGAGAUGUGGAGGAACACCAGUGGCGAAGGCGGCUUUCUGGUCUGUAACUGACGCUGAGGCGCGAAAGCGUGGGGAGCAAACAGGGAUUAGAUACCCUGGUAGUCCACGCCGUAAACGAUGAGUGCUAAGUGUUAGGGGGUUUCCGCCCCCUUAGUGCUGCAGCUAACGCAUUAAGCACUCCGCCUGGGGAUACGGCCGCAAGGCUG